AAUCAACGCUGGCGGCGUGCCUCAGACAUGCAAGUCGAACGAUUAAAGCUUCCUUCGGGAAGUGUAUAGAGUGGCGUACGGGUGAGUAACACGUAAGUAAUCUACCCUUGGGUGGGGAAUAACUUAGGGAAACCUAAGCUAAUACCGCAUAAUGCAGCGGCUCCAUAUGGAGACAGUUGUUAAAGCAUUUAUGUGCCUAAGGAGGAGCUUGCGGCAGAUUAGCUAGUUGGUAAGGUAAUGGCUUACCAAGGCGACGAUCUGUAGCCGGUCUAAGAGGACGGUCGGUCACACUGACACUGAAUAACGGGUCAGACUCCUACGGGAGGCAGCAGUCGG
rnacentral:rRNA from 1 species